rnacentral:rRNA from 1 species
AUUGAACGCUGGCGGCAGGCCUAACACAUGCAAGUCGAGCGGAGCUGCGGACGGGCGAGUAAUGCAUAGGAAUCUGCCUGGUAGUGGGGGAUAACGUCCGGUAAGGGGCGCUAAUACCGCAUACUAUCAGAUGAGCCUAGGUUGGAUUAGCUCGCUGGUGGGGUAAAGGCUUACCAAGGCGACGAUCCGUAACUGGACUGCGAGGAUGAUCAGCCACACUGGAACGGAGACACGGUCCAGACUCCUACGGGAGGCAGCAGUGGGGAAUAUUGGACAAUGGGCGAAAGCCUGAUCGAGCCAUGCCGCGUGUGUGAAGAAGGUCUUCGGAUUGUAAAGCACUUUAAGUUGGGAAGCGUUACCUACAGAAUAAGCACCGGCUAACUUCGUGCCAGCAGCCGCGGUAAUUC